CCUCUAAAAUAUUGAAGGUGAAACCUGCCCAAUGAUAUAAAAAUAAUUAUAACCUAAUUUAAAUAAUAUUAAAUGGAUGCAGUAACUCUGACUGUAGUAAAGUAGCAUAAUUAGUUGUCAUUUAAUUGAUGGAGAGAAUGAAUGGUUACACGAAUUUUCCACUGUCUUAAAAAAAAUUUUUUAAAAUUGAAAUAAUAGUUAAGAUGCUAUUUAAAAUUGUAAGACGAAGAGACCCUAUAGAGCUUUACUAUAAACUUUUUUUUAAAAAAAUAAUAAAAACUUAUUAAAAUUAAAAAGUUUGGUAGUUUAGUUGGGGCGACUGUUUUUUAAAAAUAACAAAAAUAAGCAAUAUAAUAAAUUUAUUUAUUGUAUAAUUAAACAAUUUAACAAUUACUAUAGUAGGCUAUAAUGACCCGUUAUCAUAAUAAAUAAUAGAUAACGAUUAAUUAAUAAAAGCUACCUUAGGGAUAACAGGAUAAUUUUGUUUUAGAGUCCUUAUCAAAAACAAAGUUUGUCACCUCUAUGUUGAAUUAAGAUAUCCUAGUAAUGCAGUAGUUACUGAAGGUAGGUCUGUUCGACCUUUAAAAU
rnacentral:rRNA from 1 species